UUUUGAUUAUUUAAUAGUUUCAUGCAGUGGACUGUGCCCGAAACGAUUCCCACAGCGCCGGCGAAUAGUCAGCUUGUAAAAAUGGAAUCUGAAUGCUCACAAGAAGGACAAAAGCAGUAUGAAAAUUAACACAAAGAAAUUGUGCCAGAAAAGUUUGAAGUGUCUAUGGGAAUGAUCAACAAUGAACAUUGAACUUCCUGAGCCUUUGUACUUAAAGUGAAUCCGUUCGUGACAUGACCAGUUAUUUGGCUACCCUCUAACAUAACGCCAUCUUUUAUUUAUUUAUUAUUGUGAAUUUCAUGGGAUAUCUGUGAGGAAGUGAUUCAAGCAAACACUUUAGAAAUUUCGGAUCUAACUUAAUUAGGAUCUUUGGCAUAUUCGGGGAAAAUAGUAUGUGUUGAUUUAUUGGAUCUUUUUAUUAAUAUAGUUGUG